rnacentral:rRNA from 1 species
UACGUAGGGUGCGAGCGUUGUCCGGAAUUAUUGGGCGUAAAGGGCUCGUAGGCGGUUUGUCGCGUCUGCCGUGAAAGUCCGGGGCUCAACUCCGGAUCUGCGGUGGGUACGGGCAGACUAGAGUGAUGUAGGGGAGACUGGAAUUCCUGGUGUAGCGGUGAAAUGCGCAGAUAUCAGGAAGAACACCCGUGGCGAAAGCGGCUCUCUGGGACGGUACUGACGCUGAGACGCGAAAGCGUGGGGAGCGAACAGG